UACAAAGAGUUCUUUUUUACCUAGCCUGUCCGUUCUUUUUCUACGCAGUUAAUGUUUGCCGCACGUACGUAGUAUUUAAUUGUGAGAUCCACCCGUUUGCACCGUGUUUGCCUCUAGAGUCGCCGUAGAUAUUAUUUUUCCUUGACCUGCUUGUCUUUUUCUAGGCAUCUUUCGUUAGUUGUAACUUGUAAGCUGUAUUUCAUUGCGAGAUCGACCGGUUUGCCACUUGUCCCCUCACAUCACAUUUAAGAAGGGUCGGUGUCAAUCCUGUCUGUUGAUGGGUGCUUCCAUUCAACAGUGCAAUCUUUUGAGCAAUCGGUCUAUUUUAACCAUUUAAAGCAACAAAAAAAUGGAUAAGAUUUCUCAAUCUAGACAGACUUAAUUAAUCAUGCUAACAUCUCAGUGAUGGAGGUUCUUAUAUAUCAACAAAGAUAAAUUAGACAGCCAGCUGCCACCCACAUCCCUCAUGUAAUAUACUCCCUCCGAUCCGAAAUUACUUAUCACUAAAAUAGAUAAAAUUGAGUGUAUCUAGAACUAAAAUACAUCUAAAUACAUUCAUUUUUUCGAUAAGUAUUUCAGAACGUAGGCAGUAUGUUUGACAAGAGCAUGGACGCGGCCGAUUGGUUGGCCCAAGGCGGUAUUUUAUUUUUGAGGAAAACGGCAGAACUCUGGUGUGUAUUUUUGUUGAGCAAGCACAAGAAACAAAAGGAUUGGCUUGCAUGCAUGCGCGCAUGUACUGCUACAGCAUGUUGCUAGCUAGCAUACAAUAAUACUCCCUCUGUCUUAUAAUAUAAGAACGACUUUUACAAUAAUGUAGUGUCAAAAAUGAUUUUAUAUUAUAGGAUGGAGGGAGUAGUAUAUAGUAAGUGUAAAAUCAAUCCUACAGCCGGAAUAUAGUAAGUGGUAGGUGGAUAUGGGCUGCUUCACCGACUAUUGCUGACUUCCCCCAAAGAAAAAAUGAAUUAUUGCUGAGGAUGUUGCCGUCACCGGGGGGCGGCAGGUCGCUCGCCAAGAGAACGAGACGUCAAAACCACAUUGUAGGCCACGAUAGAAUAGGGACGGCCCGAAAUCGACGUGGCCGAACGGGCCACCACGCGCUGACGGAGCUGCACUGUUGCCGAAGCCGACGCCUUUGAGUGAAUGAAAUAAUGAGAGAGAGAAGGAAGAAAGAGAGAGUUUUAGCACUUUUAUAAAUGAACAUACGAAUAACUAGUUGGCUAAUCAUUUUUAUAUGGACAUAAACAACUAUCUGGUUAUAUCUAUGACUAGCAUGUACGUACGGAAGCCUAUAGCGUCAUGAUAUGAUAUGAUACUCCCUCAAUUCCACAAUGUAGUGCGCAUGCGCUUUCCGAAAUUUAAAUUUAACCAACGAGACCGACUGCAGCGGGAGCAAAAAUUAUGCCAUUGAAUUCGUACUGAAAGAGUGAAUUCAGUGGUAUAGUUUUUGUUUCCGCCGUAGUUGGUCUUGUUGUUUAAAUUUAUGGUUAAAUUUAAAUCUCGGAAAGCGCGGACGCACUACAUUGUGGAAUGGAGGGAGUACUCAAUAAUGUCAAUCGUGAGGCAGGUCAAGGAAUAGAAAACAAAGCAUCCGCCAAAAAAAAAGAGCACAAAGUGUGGAUUUGUUAUUUAUUUUUGCGAGAAGUUUUUCGUGAAUAUAUUGGUACAAACAUAAACAAUACUGAGAGUCUGAGAGAGACAGCUAGCUAGUUGAAGAGGGAAAAAGCUAUAAGAUAGACAUCGCGUAUAAAGCUAGCAGCGCAAGUGCGCGGAUCACCCAUGUUGCGCAAGUUGAAUAAGCUGUGGUUGAAUAAAGUGGGUGGUACUCUCAAAAAAAAGGAAUAAAGUGGGUGGAAUUACAUGUAUGGGUGCAAUUUCGCACAUCAAAAUCCGGACAUUUCUCUUUCGCUAAAGUGAAAUUAUGGGCUCCAGAAGGUGGUGCUUUGCUUGCACCAUCUGCUACGUUGGAGUUUGGCCUUUUGAGGUUCAUGAGGUCGACACUUGUGUAUGUUGAAAAUCAUGCGUAUGUUACCACUAAUAAAAUUCUGUGGUCGACACUUGUGUAUGCACUUAGUAGAGUCAUUAUCACCUUCUCGCACCCAUAUGUUUUGAAGAACACUCCAAAAGGAAAGGGGUUCAACCUUUAUGUCUAGAGGACCCUCCAUGGAUAUUUUUCCUUGGCCUGCUUGUCUUGUUGUAAGCAGCUACUGUUAGUUGUAAGCGGUAUUUCAUUGCGAGACCGACCGGUUUGCCACUUGUCUCCCCACAAUUAAGAAGGGUCGAUGUCAAUCCUUUUUGUUGAUCGAUACUUUCAUUCCAUGUACUUUCUUUGUCACAUAAUGUAAGACGUUUUUUGACAUUACACUAGUGUUAAAAAAUAUUCUAUAUUAUGGCACGGAAAGAGUAACAAACAACAGUGCAGUCUUUUGAGCAACCUAUCAACCUUUACCACUUAAAGCAACAGAAAAGGUGGAUGAGAUUGCUCAAUCUACACUUAAUCAUGUUAACAUCUCAAUGGCGGAGGUUCUUACCAACACAGAUAAAUUAGACAGCCAGCUGUCACCACAUACCUCAUGUGAUAUACGUUAGAUCAUGCAAUAUAUUGUUAUGUUAGAUAAGGCCGGGCAUAGACGCGGUCGGUCGGUCCAAGACGGUACUACCAUAUACUAUAUGUCGGGACUUUCUUCUUCUCGGCGUCACCGUCGACUGGACCAAUGUCCAAAGCCAAGAUGGUUUCACCGUCGACUGAAAACAGAAGUGUGGCAUCGCACACCCCACACCACAGCACACGUACUGUUGCAGCAGCUAGCUUGAAUAUAUUAUGGGCUGCUCUGCUGCAGCAGCUUGAAUGAAUUAUUGCUGAGGGUGCUGCCAUCACGUCAGGUCCGCACUCCACAGGUCGCUCGCCAAGAGGAGGAGACGUCAAAACCACAUUUGUGCGAUAGAAUAGAGACCGGCCGUGAAUCGACCUGGGCGAACGCACCGCCGCUCGCUACUGGAGUUGCACUGUUGCCGAAGGCGACGCGGUGCCGGUGAGUGGAGGAAAUAAUGAUAGAAAGAGAGAGUUUUGACAUUUUUAAAACAUGAACGUACGAAUAAGUAGUUAGGUAAUCAUUUUAAAUCGUACAUAUAAAUAAAUAGCUAAUUAUCUAUAACUAGCAUGUACGUACUGAAGCCUAUCGCGUCGUGAUGCCAUGUGACAUUAAAUAACGUCAAUCAUGAUUCAUGAGGGAGGUCAAGGAUGACAACGCAAAGUUCGGAUGCGAGGCAUAAUGUUUAGAUUUAUUUAAUUCUUGGUGAAACAUUUUUCAUGAAUAUAUUGGUGGAAACAAAUUAAAUAGUACCAAGAGAUAGUAAGUUGAAGAGCGAAAAAAAAAACUAUAGGAUAGAUAUUGUGUAGUAAAGCUAGCAGCGCAAGUGCGCGGAUCACCCAUCUAGCUCAAGCUGAAUAAGGUGUGGUUGGAUAAAGUGGGUGGGAUUUUGCACAUCAAAAGCUGGACAUUUUUCUUUUGCUAAAGUGAAACUAUAUAUGGACUCCAGAAGGUGGUGCUUUGCUUGCACGAUCUGUUGCAUUGGAGUCUAACCCUUUGAUGUUCAUGAGGUCGAAACUUGUGUAUGUAAAAAAUCAUGCGUAUACUACCAUUAAUAAAAUUCGGAAUCUACUCCCACCUUGUAUAAAUGCAAUCAAAUCUGCCAAGUAGACAAAAAUAUGAUUAACAAGAUAAUUAAUAGGAGGGAGCAGAAUUUGAUGACUCCAUAAACAAACGAUAUUAGGCACACAUACCUAAGCGAAAACAUAAUUUACUGCCCACAACUAAUUAAUAGAGUUGAUCAAAAUCGGACGUCCUUCAAUGGAGCUUGCCUUUCCAACGCCUCAAAUGUUUCUCUAAGCACUCUAGGACAUGUUCUCACACCGUAUUAGUGAGACAUCGAUAAUGGAUUGAAUUCCUAAAUGUUUAAUCAGGAAUUGGCUUUGUGUGCAACCAAUUAGGUCAGUGUGUUGUGCAUCCGCCUCUUUAGCUUCUCUGAAACAUAACGACUCGGUUUAAUGGAAGUUAAUCUAGAGACCUGACAUUUGCUCAAAUCUGAAAGCAAGAGUUUCAGAUUCCUAGCCUCAUCAAGGUCAAUGUUCCAUAAAAACAGGCAUCUCAUUGAGUUUUAGCUUUUGAGGCUAGGAUAUCAUUUGCAUAUGAUUUCGCAUAUGUACAUGGGGAUAUCAUUCUCAUCCGUCGUAACUUAUGAGAUAUCAUCUGCUUGGGUCUCGCCGAGUGUGAAGUUCCCUCCAUCUGAAGCCCCGAACAGAGACUUAUAAUAUCCGGUGAUAUAUCGUUUCAACUCCAACUCUGCCUGACCCACGAUCUGUCUGGCAUCCAGGUUAAAAAUAUGCUUCUUCCCAUGUCGCCCAUUGGUGACCAUAUGGAAACAUGGUGUAUUGUUAUCACACUCAAAAAGGAAUUGGGCUUUGGAUCUUUGGUACCGCUUGAUUUGCUCUUUUCACAAUAGACGUGCAAUCUGCUCAUUGGAUUGAUUUUUUAUAUCAAUCUCCUGAUGAGACAAAGUGCAUGUCUCCGUGAUGUUAUCGAUGCCAUCAAGAAUAUUGGUAAGGUGUUGCUUUUUUUACAUACCACUGGUAUGUUUCGCCCAUUCAAAUAGGAAUUGCCUAGUAGCCACGGUUUAAAAAUUCGAUGAAUAGGCGUCCGACAACGAAGUUAGAAUAGGCGUCCGACAACGGCGGGCCUUCCCAUACAUUCUUAAUUAAGUUUACAAAGUCAUCCCGUUGUAACCAUCCUAAUUCAAAUUUGAAUGGCCGGGGAGUAGCAGGGGAGCUAGUAGAGUUAGAAUCGGGAAUGAAGGGCACUUGGUCAGAAAGUGUCUCAAUAUGCUCCGGGGAGCAUGUACAGUCACGAGAGAAAACUUUAAUUUCCAUUCUGUGCAAUCGUCACAACAUUGUCAGCCUAACAUAUGUUGCGCAUAGAUCAUGGAAGAGCAACAUACAUGCAUGUGAUUGCUUUCCCAGUUGGCCAAUCGAAACCUGAAAACAAUAGGAAUGGUCAAUGGUUGCCGGGAGGAGUGCAUGUGGGUUAUCGCAAGAUAAGAGAGAGACCAGUCCAUGUCUAAAAUAAGGCUACCGGCGAGACCUGUAAGUAAGAUCACACCGACUAACAAGAAAAAUAUAUCAGAUGCCAAAAAUAAGGACCAUCACUUAGACUCCAGCACAUCCCAUCUCCUUGGAAGCAAGCAAGAUCAUGGCUUACCUGUCAAAAAUAACAGAGACCAUCGCGUACACUCUAGCCCAUCUUCUCCGUAGAAGCAAAAAAAUAAUGAUUGUACUAACAAGUGCACUCUAACUACUUACCAGUGAAGCAUUGGGUAUGAGAUUGUAAGAAAGCAAAUCCGGUGCUUGGAAGUAGUAGAAGGAAGGACUAGGACGAUGUGAUCAGAACGGGUUCUUGUACUCAACUAAUUGUCCCAUCAGGAGGGAGGGGUCGACCAGAUUGUAAGAGAAAUGGUUACUUGGUUAGUGGAAUAAUGCCUGCGGUGCAGAAUAGCACGAGGAUAACAUGCCCAACCGAAAGACAAGACCUUACCCUAGGUAGGCUUUGACUUUUGAGCCCUGCAGCGCACAUGUAUUGUGUGGAAGGAAGCCAAGCAACCAUACGUUGUACCUGUAUACGUCUGCAAACAAGCUACCUAGCUAGAGACGGAAGAGCCCAUCCCACCCCGACCACCUCUCCCCAUUUCAAAGUCGACAUCCUCUUCUUCCCCCUCCCUCCCCCUCUCUAUCGUCCAUCAGCCAGGGCCGCCAUGAACGGCAAGGGCGGAGACGGCGGGAGCGACCACGACGACAUGGACAUGCGGAAGCCGCUGCUGGUGAACACGGGGAGCUGGUACAAGAUGGGGUCGAGCCUCACGGCGGGGAGCUCCUCCAUGGCCAUCAUCUGCGAGUCCCACGUCUCCGCCUUGCUCUGCACGCUCAUCGUCGCGCUCGGCCCAAUCCAGUUCGGCUUCACCGGCGGCUUCUCCUCCCCGACGCAGGACGCCAUCACCCGCGACCUCGGCCUCUCCAUCUCCGAGUUCUCGGUGUUCGGCUCGCUCUCCAACAUCGGCGCCAUGGUGGGCGCCAUCGCCAGCGGCCAGAUGGUGGAGCACGUCGGCCACAAAGGGGCGUUGAUGAUCGCUGCUGUUCCUAACAUCCUCGGCUGGCUCGCCAUCUCCUUGGCAAAAGACACUACGUUUCUGUAUACGGGGCGAUUGCUUGAAGGAUUUGGUGUUGGUAUCAUAUCCUACACGGUGCCUGUAUACAUAGCAGAGAUUUCUCCUCGUAACAAGAGGGGCGCUCUAGGCUGUGUGAACCCGUUGUCUGUAACACUUGGGAUGGUGUUGGCCUAUGUGCUCGGCAUGCUUGUUCCUUGGAGGAUGCUUGCGCUGAUAGGAACCUUGCCAUGCACAAUAUUGAUACCUGGCCUACUCUUCAUUCCAGAAUCUCCAAGAUGGCUGGCAAAGAUGAACAAGAUGGAUGAUUUCGAAGCCUCUUUACAAGUUUUGAGAGGAUCUGAGACCGACAUCACCUCAGAAGUGAAUGAUAUAAAGACAGCGGUAGCAUCAGCAAACAAAAUGACGGCAAUUCGUUUCCAAGAGUUAAACCAAAAGAAAUUCCGCAUGCCCUUGAUACUAGGAAUUGGCCUGCUUGUACUACAACAGCUAAGUGGGAUCAACGCCAUACUGUUUUAUGCAGGCAGCAUCUUCAAAGCUGCAGGUCUUACAAACAGCAACUUGGCCGCAUGUGGACUUGGAGCUAUUGCGCUUCUUGCCACUGGAGCUACAACCUGGUUGCUAGACAGAGCUGGCCGACGGAUCCUACUUAUUGUAACUUUCCUCCUCUCUUUGAAACCAGUUUGUUACUGUAGUUGUCUGGAGUAUAAUUUAGCUCUCACUUCAACUUCCAGAUCUCUUCUGCUGGGAUGACCCUAAGCCUUCUUGCAAUUGCCGUCAUAUUUUUUCUCAAGGACAACGUUCCGCAAGAUUCUGACAUGUAUUACAUAUUAAGCAUGGUCUCCUUGUUUGCUAUUGUGGCUUAUGUGAUCACCUUCUCCUUCGGUAUGGGUGCCAUUCCAUGGGUCAUAAUGUCUGAG